CUACGGGUCGCAGCAGGCGAGAAAACUUUGCAAUGUGCGAAAGCACGACAAGGUUAAUCCGAGUGGUUUGUGCUAAACGAACCUUUUGACAGUCCUAGAAACACUGUUGAAUAAGGGGUGGGCAAGUUCUGGUGUCAGCCGCCGCGGUAAGACCAGCACCUCAAGUGGUCAGGAUGAUUAUUGGGCCUAAAGCAUCCGUAGCCGGCUCUGUAAGUUUUCGGUUAAAUCUGUACGCUCAACGUACAGGCUGCCGGGAAUACUGCAGGGCUAGGGAGUGGGAGAGGUAGACGGUACUCGGUAGGAAGGGGUAAAAUCCUUUGAUCUAUUGAUGACCACCUGUGGCGAAGGCGGUCUACCAGAACACGUCCGACGGUGAGGGAUGAAAGCUGGGGGAGCAAACCGGAUUAGAUACCCGUGUAGUC
rnacentral:rRNA from 1 species